rnacentral:rRNA from 3 species
ACAGUGGACGCGAGCAUCUGUGGCCAAGUUUUUAAGGGCGCACGGUGGAUGCCUUGGUACCAGGAACCGAUGAAGGACGUGGGAGGCCGCGAUAGGCCCCGGGGAGCUGUCAACCGAGCUUUGAUCCGGGGGUGUCCGAAUGGGGAAACCCGGCAGUCGUCAUGGGCUGUCACCCGCUGCUGAAUGUAUAGGCAGUGUGGAGGGAACGCGGGGAAGUGAAACAUCUCAGUACCCGCAGGAAGAGAAAACAACCGUGAUUCCGGGAGUAGUGGCGAGCGAAACCGGAUGAGGCCAAACCGUAUGUGUGUGAUACCCGGCAGGGGUUGCAUGUACGGGGUUGUGGGAUUG